rnacentral:rRNA from 1 species
AAUCAACGCUGGCGGCGUGCCUCAGACAUGCAAGUCGAACGAUUAAAGCUCUCUUCGGAGAGUGCAUAGAGUGGCGCACGGGUGAGUAACACGUAAGUAAUCUACCUUCGAGUGGGGAAUAACAGUCGGAAACGACUGCUAAUACCGCAUAAUGCAGCGGCAUCGCAAGAUGACAGUUGUUAAAGGAGCAAUCCGCUUGAAGAGGAGCUGCGGCAGAUUAGCUAGUUGGUAAGGUAAUGGCUUACCAAGGCAACGAUCUGUAACCGACCUGAGAGGGUGGUCGGUCACACUGACACUGAAUAACGGGUCAGACUCCUACGGGAGGCAGCAGUCGGGAAUUUUGGG